GGGUGAUUAGCUCAGCUGGGAGAGCACCUCCCUUACAAGGAGGGGGUCGGCGGUUCGAAAGCAGGGGGUCGGCGGUUCGAUCCCGUCAUCACCCACCA
rnacentral:tRNA from 1 species